AUUGAACGCUGGCGGCAGGCCUAACACAUGCAAGUCGAACGAGUGGCGGACGGGUGAGUAAUGUCUGGGAAACUGCCUGAUGGAGGGGGAUAACUACUGGAAACGGUAGCUUAUACCGCAUACCCUCAGAUGUGCCCAGAUGGGAUUAGCUAGUUGGUGGGGUAAUGGCUCACCAAGGGGACGAUCCCUAGCUGGUCUGAGAGGAGGACCGGCCAAACUGGAACUGAGACACGGUCCAGACUCCAACGGGAGGCAGAAGUGGGGAAUAUUGCACAAUGGGCGAAAGCCUGAUGCGGCCAGGCCGCGUGGAGGAAGAAGGCCUUCGGGUUGUAAAGUACGUUCAGCGGGGAGGCGUUACCCGCAGAAGAAGCACCGGCUAACUCCGUGCCAGCAGCCGCGGUAAUAC
rnacentral:rRNA from 1 species